rnacentral:rRNA from 1 species
CCUACGGGGGGCAGCAGUGGGGAAUAUUGGGCAAUGGGCGAAAGCCUGACGCAGCGACGCCGCGUGAGGGAUGAAGGUCUUCGGAUCGUAAACCUCUGUCAGCAGGGAAGAACGGUCACUGUGCUAAUCAGCAGUGAAUUGACGGUACCUGCAAAGGAAGCACCGGCUAACUCCGUGCCAGCAGCCGCGGUAAUACGGAGGGUGCGAGCGUUAAUCGGAAUUACUGGGCGUAAAGCGCUCGUAGGCGGUAUGUCAAGUCAAGGGUGAAAUCCCCGCGCUCAACGGGGGAACUGCCUUUGAAACUGGGAGACUGGAGUGUGUGAGAGGAGAGUGGAAUUCCAGGGGUAGGAGUGAAAUCCGUAGAUAUCUGGAGGAACAUCAGUGGCGAAGGCGACUAUCUGGCACGUAACUGACGCUGAGGAGCGAAAGCGUGGGUAGCAAACAGGAUUAGAUACCCUUGUAGUC